GAAAAUGUUUGGAUGAUAUGGUUGUAUUCUUAGCUUAUCAUAUUUACUUCAAAAACAAAGGUGGUUUAGUUAAUCAAAUUGGUGAAUUGACAAAAAAAGAGCACAUGGAAACUACUGGAACUCGCUUUGUUAAUCAGAGACCAAACAUGACUGCAGAGCAGAUGGCCAUUCAAGACAAAGCAU